rnacentral:lncRNA from 1 species
CAAAAAUAAAUAAAUAAAAUAACUUUAAUUUAAAAAUAUUAAUUGGAUACUGGAGUAUCUCAUUUGCAUUCAAGAAGAAUUGCUUGAGAGAGUUGCCCCUGGCUCCAAUGAUGCUCUAUUUCUCAGUAUUUUUUUUUAUUUGUGAUAUGGGUUAAAUUGGGGCAGAUGACCACCCAAUGGUCAGGUGAUCCAUCAUCCAUGGCAAGGAUCCAGUAAGAUCUCACAAUUUAGAUUUGACUGUGGAGGGACCACCUCUGGACUCAGGUCAGAUGCCAGAGAAUCAAGGAAACUAUCCUCCAAAGUGUUUAAGACAGGUCUUUCUUUGUGGACUUGAGCAAUAAGUAUUCACAGCAUCUUUCUGGAAAAGUCUUCCAGUAGGGCAGCAGGGGCUAGAAGAAAAGGCCCAAGAGUCAGUUUCCAUGAUAAAACAUUGUCAUUUGCCAGCUUUGUAACUCUGACUUUACUGUGCCUCAGUUUCCUUAUCUGUAAAAUAUCUACCCUACUUGCCUUACAAAGGCAUUGUGAGGAUGAAAGGAGGUUAUAGGUGUGAAGUGUAACUUGUAGCAUGCUCAGACAGGCCUAAGCCUUGUUAUGAUGCAAUUCUGUAAGGACUGCUGCUUAACUGGGCUGUCCAGUCUGGGCACGUGAAUUCUGCCUUCACUUGGCAGUGGGGUCCACCUAAUUGAGAUACUUGUCUGGAAAAAGCCCGAAAGGAUGCCUUAAUUUGAGAAUUUAUGAAGAGAAAAUAUUUUUAUCAGCUCAGAAUGAUUGAACCUAAGCUAUGGAGCGAGAACCAUAUCAAGUUUACUCACCAGUAUCUUCAGUGUGACAGUAAUCUCUAACCACUACCAUGUGCAGUGGAUUUCUUCCCAUUAAGGACGUGAUGUAAAUAUCUUUGGUUUGGUCCAGUUUUUGUGUUUUUCUGCUUUCCUUCAGCUGAUUCACUGGUGCUCUCUUCUUGUAUCCAAUAUCAUUUUUGAGUGACCUUUUUUCACAGUAGGGCUUCCAAUGACAGCUACACAGAAUUUUCAGUUUCUUCAUUUCACUCUUCAAAGUUUGGCCUUGUGGUAGACUCUUUACCAACUUUUUCUAUUUUUCCAGC